CGCUCCACCUGGGGCAGCUUUUGAAUCUGUCCAGUGCAAGAGAGCCCACAAGCUCUCUGGGCAGCCGACUGCCAGGGGCAGGAGCCCUGGAGUGGCACUGCCUGAACAACCCCUUUCUGCCAACAGUGCCACCCUCGAUGGCUGCCCCAGGGCCUGGCAUUUGACCCUGCACUUGCUGCAGGAGCCCCUGCCCUGGUUGGGCUCUGACCAAAGGCUCGGACCCAUCUCAGAACCUCGGUUCCCAAGGGUGGCGUGGGACUGAGGCCAUCGCUGCCCCUAUUUUGGGUGCGCGUUGCUGAUGUCAGAAUGGCCAUUGUGACCCGUGCGACCAAGGCCACCAGAGGGAACGCUGGGCUCAGGCCGUGUGUCAGUGCGACCUGACAACGGGAGGAGAAGACGCAGCAGAGGAACAUCCACGGGAGACAGCAGUGUUCCUCGACGCGGUGACGGGAGGAGAAGGCGGACUGGAGCAGGGCUCACGCAGGGCUCACCAGGGAGUAGUGCCCUCGUGGCUCUGGGCCGGUUCUGCAAACUCCCCACACUCUUCUUUCUCCCACAGAGGGAGAGGACGAGCGCCUGGAGAAGGUCGCGGUGUUCCUGCACGGGGACUCAUCGCAGACCAGAACCAUGGCAGAAGGGAAGCAGGAGGCCUCUGAUGCCAGGGAGCCAGCAUGCCUGCUGUGCCGCCGCGCAGAGGCUGACCCGGACAUCUGCGGCGACAAACAGGAG